GGCCCUUACGACCAGGGCUACACACGUGCUACAAUGGCGCAUACAAAGAGAAGCGACCUCGCGAGAGCAAGCGGACCUCAUAAAGUGCGUCGUAGUCCGGAUUGGAGUCUGCAACUCGACUCCAUGAAGUCGGAAUCGCUAGUAAUCGUGGAUCAGAAUGCCACGGUGAAUACGUUCCCGGGCCUUGUACACACCGCCCGUCACACCAUGGGAGUGGGUUGCAAAAGAAGUAGGUAGCUUAACCUUCGGGAGGGCGCUUACCACUUUGUGAUUCAUGACUGGGGUGAAGUCGUAACAAGGUAACCGUAGGGGAACCUGCGGUUGGAUCAC
rnacentral:rRNA from 1 species